rnacentral:tRNA from 1 species
GGAGAGGUGACCGAGAGGCCGAAGGUGCACGACUGGAAAUCGUGUGUGCGGCAACGUACCGGGGGUUCGAAUCCCCCCUUCUCCGCCA